CUGAACUGGGUAGCGGCCGGAUGCUGUAUUUCACUCUGUUUGUCCAGGCUGAGAGGGGAGCCAAGGAUCAUCCAAGGAAUGUGUGAGGGCACACCUUGGAGUGGGGAAGAGGACAGGACUGGCUAUUGUGAGCAGGCACCUGUUGGGGGCGCUGGUGAAUGGAGCUUCCAAGAGGACACUUGGAGCGUUGUAUUGAAGAUUAACUCAGACCUGCUGGGACUCAUGCCUAUUCAGCCCCAGUGUCCAGCAGCCAGCCUACCACGCUCGCACAGGCCAGCCUGCAACUCGAAGUGGGACCACAGAGAAGCGAAAGACUGAUGAGAGAGAGAAGGAGAGAGAGAGAAUCCCAAGUAGGCUC